rnacentral:rRNA from 1 species
CAGCAGUGAGGAAUAUUGGUCAAUGGGCGAGAGCCUGAACCAGCCAAGUAGCGUGCAGGAAGACGGCCCUAUGGGUUGUAAACUGCUUUUAUAGGGGAAUAAAGUGAGCCACGUGUGGUUUUUUGCAUGUACCCUAUGAAUAAGGACCGGCUAAUUCCGUGCCAGCAGCCGCGGUAAUACGGAAGGUCCGGGCGUUAUCCGGAUUUAUUGGGUUUAAAGGGAGCGUAGGCCGGAGAUUAAGCGUGUUGUGAAAUGUAGACGCUCAACGUCUGCACUGCAGCGCGAACUGGUUUCCUUGAGUACGCAUAAAGUGGGCGGAAUUCGUGGUGUAGCGGUGAAAUGCUUAGAUAUCACGAAGAACUCCGAUUGCGAAGGCAGCUCACUGGGGCGCAACUGACGCUGAAGCUCGAAAGCGCGGGUAUCGAACAGGAUUAGAUACCCUGGUAGUCCGCGCGGUAAACGAUGGAUGCCCGCUGUUGGGCCAACUGGUUCAGCGGCCAAGCGAAAGCAUUAAGCAUCCCACCUGGGGAGUACGCCGGCAACGGUGAAACUCAAAGGAAUUGACGGGGGCCCGCACAAGCGGAGGAACAUGUGGUUUAAUUCGAUGAUACGCGAGGAACCUUACCCGGGCUUAAAUUGCAGAUGAAUUACGGUGAAAGCCGUAAGCCGCAAGGCAUCUGUGAAGGUGCUGCAUGGUUGUCGUCAGCUCGUGCCGUGAGGUGUCGGCUUAAGUGCCAUAACGAGCGCAACCCUUGUUGUCAGUUACUAACAGGUUACGCUGAGGACUCUGACAAGACUGCCAUCGUAAGAUGUGAGGAAGGUGGGGAUGACGUCAAAUCAGCACGGCCCUUACGUCCGGGGCUACACACGUGUUACAAUGGGGGGUACAGAGGGCCGCUACCACGCGAGUGGAUGCCAAUCCCCAAAACCUCUCUCAGUUCGGACUGGAGUCUGCAACCCGACUCCACGAAGCUGGAUUCGCUAGUAAUCGCGCAUCAGCCACGGCGCGGUGAAUACGUUCCCGGGCCUUGUACACACCGCCCGUCAAGCCAUGGGAGCCGGGGGUACCUGAAGUGCGUAACCGCGAGGAGCGCCCUAGGGUAAAACUGGUGACUGGGGCUAAGUCGUAACAAGGUAGCCGUACCGGAAGGUGCGGCUG